rnacentral:rRNA from 1 species
UACGAAGGGGGCUAGCGUUGCUCGGAAUUACUGGGCGUAAAGGGCGCGUAGGCGGAUAGUUUAGUCAGAGGUGAAAGCCCAGGGCUCAACCUUGGAACUGCCUUUGAUACUGGGAGUCUUGAGUUCGGGAGAGGUGAGUGGAACUGCGAGUGUAGAGGUGAAAUUCGUAGAUAUUCGCAAGAACACCAGUGGCGAAGGCGGCUCACUGGCCCGGUACUGACGCUGAGGUGCGAAAGCGUGGGGAGCAAACAGG